GGCCGGUUAGCUCAGUGGUUUGAGCGCGGCGCUAACAAUGACAACACCGAGGUCGCGGGUUCGAUUCCCGCUCGGUCC
rnacentral:tRNA from 1 species